rnacentral:rRNA from 1 species
AGGAAGAUUGAAGAGCUUUGCUUCUAGUACGAGAGGACCGGAGCGAGGACACCGCUUAUGCUCCAGUUGUAGCGCCAGCUGCACCGCUGGG